UUGCAGUGCCCUCUCGAUCUGGUGGACGGAAGCGUAGGGAACUUCCAUCCUCCCGACUCGGAGGGCACUUUCGCGCCAGGAACCCCGACGGACAGGAAUAAACAGCGGUACAUCCAG
rnacentral:sRNA from 1 species